rnacentral:rRNA from 1 species
UACGAAGGGGGGCUAGCGUUGCUCGGAAUCACUGGGCGUAAAGCGUGCGCAGGCGGCUUUGCAAGACAGAUGUGAAAUCCCCGGGCUUAACCUGGGAACUGCGCUUGUAACUGGCAAGCUAGAGUGUGGCAGAGGGGGGUGGAAUUCCACGUGUAGCAGUGAAAUGCGUAGAGAUGUGGAGGAACACCGAUGGCGAAGGCAGCCCCCUGGGUCGAUACUGACGCUCAUGCACGAAAGCGUGGGGAGCAAACAGG